rnacentral:rRNA from 1 species
AUUGAACGCUGGCGGCAUGCCUUACACAUGCAAGUCGAACGGUAACAGGUCUUCGGGUGCUGACGAGUGGCGAACGGGUGAGUAAUACAUCGGAACGUGCCUAGUAGUGGGGGAUAACUACUCGAAAGAGUGGCUAAUACCGCAUGAGAUCUACGGAUGAAAGCAGGGGAUCGCAAGACCUUGUGCUACUAGAGCGGCCGAUGGCAGAUUAGGUAGUUGGUGGGAUAAAGGCUUACCAAGCCGACGAUCUGUAGCUGGUCUGAGAGGACGAUCAGCCACACUGGGACUGAGAAACGGCCCAGACUCCUACGGGAGGCAGCAGUGGGGAAUUCUGGACAAUGGGCGCAAGCCUGAUCCAGCAAUGCCGCGUGCAGGAUGAAGGCCUUCGGGUUGUAAACUGCUUUUGUACGGAACGAAAAGCCCCGGGUUAAUACCCUGGGGUCAUGACGGUACCGUAAGAGUAAGCACCGGCUAACUACGCGCCAGCCGCCGCCGUAA